rnacentral:tRNA from 1 species
UCCCUGGUGGCUCAGAUGGUAAAGCAUCUGCCUGCAAAGCGGGAGACCCGGGUUCGAUCCCUGGGUCGGGAA